UACGAAGGGGGCGAGCGUUGUCCGGAAUCACUGGGCGUAAAGGGCGCGUAGGCGGUCUGCUAAGCGUGUGGUGAAAGCCCGGGGCUCAACCCCGGGUCGGCCGUGCGAACUGGUGGACUGGAGCUUGUCAGAGGCAGGCGGAAUUCCGGGUGUAGCGGUGGAAUGCGUAGAGAUCCGGAAGAACACCGGUGGCGAAGGCGGCCUGCUGGGACAGUGCUGACGCUGAAGCGCGACAGCGUGGGGGAGCAAACAGG
rnacentral:rRNA from 1 species